rnacentral:rRNA from 1 species
UACGUAGGGUGCAAGCGUUGUCCGGAAUUAUUGGGCGUAAAGAGCUCGUAGGCGGUUUGUUGCGUCGGCUGUGAAAUCCCGAGGCUCAACCUCGGGUCUGCAGUCGAUACGAGCAAAGCUAGAGUGUUGUCAGGGGAGACUGGAAGUUCCUGGUGUAGCGGUGAAAUGCGCAGAUAUCAGGAGGAACACCGGUGGCGAAGGCGGGUCUCUGGGCAACAACUGACGCUGGAGGAGCGAAAGCGUGGGGAGCGAACAGG